CUAAUAUGCAAUAUGUCUCUUCGCUUUAAUCCUUGUGAUUUUCCACUGGAUUCUUUUGAGUUUUGAUUCUGAGGUUCUUUUUUUUUUUUUUUUUUUUUUUAUGAGACAAAAUCUCGCUCUGUCACCCAGGCUGGAGUACACUGGCUCACUGCAACCUCCGCCUCCUGGCAAUUCUCAUGCCUCAGCCACCUGAGUAGCUGGGAUUACAGGCACGCACCAUCAUGCCUGGUUAAUUUUUGUAUUUUUAGUGGAGAGGGGGUUUGGCCAUUUUGGCCAGGCUGGUCUCAAACCCCUGGCCUCAAGUGAUCCCCACCCCACCCCCUCUGCACCGCCUCCGCCUCCCAAAGUGCUGAGAUUAUGGGCGUGAGCCAUCACAUCCGGCCUGAUUCUGAGGUUCUUAAUUAAGAAACAGAAAUCACGUCAGCUGAUGAUACUUUAGAGAGCCUCAAAGCUAACGUGAGACAGCAUCUUGGUUCUGCAAGGACGUGUCCUUCAACCCAACGCCCCCCACCCCCACCCAACCCCAAGCAAAUAUCCUGUUGAAGUCUCCGUGAACAAACAUCUAUCAACAGAAAAGCGAUAUGGAAUACAGGGCAUUGGCAGGCAGAGAUGUACCCUGUGGCUUGGGCUUUCUCUGCAAGGCCAGUGGGGAUGAAACCAAUAACAAAGACCCUGACUUUGCUUAAUGACCAAGACUCACUUAGAUAACAAACCGGCGCUGCUGUUGGCAGAGAGCCUUCUAGAUGCUCAGUACAGUGUGGCCUGUUAAAGUGGGAAGGAGGACUUGAAGGAAAGAGCUGUUUAAGUCAUAUUUUCUUACAGCCAAAGGAGAUUAUCUUCUCUUGGUUUGGACGGAUCAUUAUUUGUUACUGUUUAUUAUUAAUCGUGAUUUCCUGAGAACUUUUAUGUUCCGGAUACCGAAUCACAUACUUUAUAUUCACUCACUACAAUCCUGCAAAACUUUGUUGUUGAUUUUCUUUUUUUAAUAAAAGAGAAAACUCGGCCGGGCGCGGUGACUCACGCCUGUAAUCCCAGCACUUUGGGAGGCUGAGGCGGGUGGAUCACCAGGUCAAGAGUUCAAGACCAGCCUGGCCAAGAUGCUGAAACCCCGUCUCUACUAAAAAUACAAAAAA
rnacentral:lncRNA from 10 species